AGAUAUUUAUAUUAUUAAUAGGAAAGUCAUAAAUAUAUAAAUUAUAUUAUAUAAUUAAUAUAAUAAUAAAAUAAAUUAUAUAUUUUAUUUAUAAUAUUAUUUCUUUAUAAGAUAAAAUAUUAUCUGAUGAAUAAUUAGAUUGAAUAAUAUUUAUAAAGAAAUAUAUAUAAAAAGUCAUUAUAUAAAUUUAAUUAUAAUUUAAAUAAAUUUUAUAUAAAUUAAUAUAAUAUUAAUAAAGUAAUUAGUAUAAAUAAAUAAUAUGAAAAUAAAACUUAAUAAAUAUAUAAAUAUAGUCCAUAUAUAUAUAUUAAUAAAAAGUAAUAUAUAUAUAUAUAUUGGAAUAGUUAUAUUAUUAUACAGAAAUAUGCUUAAUUAUAAUAUAAUAUCCA
rnacentral:RNase_MRP_RNA from 1 species